UACGUAGGGUGCGAGCGUUACUCGGAAUUACUGGGCGUAAAGCGUGCGCAGGCGGUUUGCUAAGACAGGUGUGAAAUCCCCGGGCUUAACCUGGGAACUGCGCUUGUAACUGGCAAGCUAGAGUGUGGCAGAGGGGGGUAGAAUUCCACGUGUAGCAGUGAAAUGCGUAGAGAUGUGGAGGAACACCGAUGGCGAAGGCAGCCCCCUGGGCUAACACUGACGCUCAUGCACGGAAGCGUGGGGAGCAAACAGG
rnacentral:rRNA from 1 species